rnacentral:rRNA from 1 species
UCGGCUUAGAGUUUGAUCAUGGCUCAGAUUGAACGCUGGCGGCAGGCUUAACACAUGCAAGUCGAGCGGUAGGAGAGCUUGCUCUCUACGAGCGGCGGACGGGUGAGUAAUGUCUGGGAAACUGCCUGAUGGAGGGGGAUAACUACUGGAAACGGUAGCUAAUACCGCAUAAUGUCGCAAGACCAAAGAGGUUCGUCUUGCCAUCAGAUGUGCCCAGAUGGGAUUAGCUAGUAGGUGGGGUAAUGGCUCACCUAGGCGACGAUCCCUAGCUGGUCUGAGAGGAUGACCAGCCACACUGGAACUGAGACACGGUCCAGACUCCUACGGGAGGCAGCAGUGGGGAAUAUUGCACAAUGGGCGCAAGCCUGAUGCAGCCAUGCCGCGUGUAUGAAGAAGGCCUUAGGGUUGUAAAGUACUUUCAGCGAGGAGGAAGGCAUUGUACUAAUGUACAAUGUUGACGUUACUCGCAGAAGAAGCACCGGCUAACUCCGUGCCAGCAGCCGCGGUAAUACGGAGGGUGCAAGCGUUAAUCGGAAUUACUGGGCGUAAAGCGCACGCAGGCGGUUUGUUAAGUCAGAUGUGAAAUCCCCGGGCUCAACCUGGGAACUGCAUUUGAAACUGGCAAGCUUGAGUCUUGUAGAGGGGGGUAGAAUUCCAGUG